AGCAGCCGCGGUAAUUCCAGCUCCAAUAGCGUAUAUUAAAGUUGUUGCAGUUAAAAAGCUCGUAGUUGAAUUUCGGGAUUGGCGUGUCGGUCGUGCCUUAAGGGGUAUGAACUGGCGUCGUCGAUUUCUCACCUUCUGGAGAAUCAUGAUGCCCUUAAUUGGGUGUCGUGUGGAACCAGGACCUUUACCUUGAAAAAUUAGAGUGUUUAAAGCAGGCAUUUUUGCUCGAAUACAUUAGCAUGGAAUAAUAAAAUAGGACGGUUUGGUUCUAUUUUGUUGGUUUCUAGGAUCACCGUAAUGAUUAAUAGGGAUAGUUGGGGGCAUUAGUAUUCAAUUGUCAGAGGUGAAAUUCUUGGAUUUAUUGAAGACUAACUACUGCGAAAGCAUUUGCCAAGGAUGUUUUCAUUAAUCAAGAACGAAAGUUAGGGGAUCGAAGACGAUCAGAUACCGUCGUAGUCUUAACCAUAAACUAUGCCGACUAGGAAUCAGACGAUGUAAUUUUUUAAUGACUCGUUUGGCA
rnacentral:rRNA from 1 species